rnacentral:rRNA from 1 species
GAUGAACGCUGGCGGCGUGCCUAAUACAUGCAAGUCGAGCGGACAGACGAGGAGCUUGCCUCUCGGACGGUAGCCGCGGGCGGGAGAGUAACACGUGGAUACCCUACCUAUAAGACUGGGAUCACUUCGGGAAACCGGAUCUAAUACGGUAUAAGAUAGUGAACCGCAGGGUGCAAUGGUGAGAGACGGUGGUGCGGGCACUGAUAGAUGGAUCCGCGCUGGAUUAGCUAGUUGGUAAGGUAACGGCCUACCAAGGCAACGAUGCGUAGCCGACCUGAGAGGGUGAUAGGCCACACUGGAACUGAGACACGGACCAGACUCCUACGGGAGGCAGCAGUAGGGAAUCUUGGGCAAUGGGCGAAAGCCUGACGCAGUAAGGCCGCGUGAGUGAUGAAGGCCUUCGGAUCGUAAAACGCUGUUAUACGGGAAGAACAGAUGUGGCAGUAAAUCUGGAGUUCUUGACGGUACCGAAUCAGAAAGCACCGGCUAACUACGUG